AGCAACCAACUCUACAGCUAUUGUGAGUCGCUUUCUCUGCUCAGUUGACAAACCAUCCACCCCCGGAAGGCCUACUAUUGAAUUCCUAAGUGGUUUCAGUUCAACCAACUCCAUCACCUCCUCAACAAACAUCUUUCUAGUUUCAGUCUUAAUUUCCUUAGAAAGACGCAACCAGGCAGAGUACAGGAGGGAUUCAUAGACGGUAACAUGUGGAGAAUGGAUAUCAUUCUGCUCACAAUAACCACUAAUCCGAGCAAAAGUUUCUUGCUUCUUU
rnacentral:misc_RNA from 1 species